CAGCACUGUGCUAGUGGCAGGGAAUUGCUGGCCAUGUAUCGUGGUGACAGAACCAUCACAGUCACAAGGGAUCAGACCUAGGCAGUACUAUUUCAGCCACUCAGCUAUCCCAGCUUUGCACUUCUUUCAGUGCACUCACGCAGCAUCAGAAGCCACUAAAUGAGGCUAGCUCUACCCACAAGCUCCAAUUUUUGUAUUAUACAGACACAUGUUCUCAAAGUAACGGUUAGCCACCUCUCAUUUUUCCUUCAGUUGCCCUUUUUCUCUCUUUCACACCUGUAGUGGAAAUGCUAAGUCAGGGCUUGAAACAACGACUGAGCACCUGGUGGGAAGGCAGGUUUAACCCAGGGGAGCUCAGGUGCAAGCAAUGCAUUGAAUGACUGGAAGGAGUGAGGCAAGGGUUCACCCCUUCCCAGACCUCAUGUAAGGGUUGGAAGUGGAGGCAACGGUAUUUUGCUGGAGAUCCCUGUAUACCUGAAACUUUCUAAGGCCUUCCUGAUACACUUCUAUGCUGAUACUGGCUGUCAUUGUUUUCCAUGCUGAGGAAGAACACAUUUGCUGAUACAGCAGAAGCUUUGAGCCACUCAUACCUGCUCAAACAAGUUUUCCUGUUUGCUUUCCAUUUGCAAACAGAGGAAGACCAUUAAAUGGCUUUGUGAAUCUUACUCACAGGAAACCAGCCCAGCACUGAGCAUCUGGGAACUAUUCUUCCUUCUCUAAACCACUUCCCUGGAAAGAGCUGGGAAGAGAGCCAGCAGCACGAUGAGCUCAGCCUCCCUGGAUUGCAGCUGCGCAGGAGAGAAAUGCUGUCCAGCAGGUUGGAGGGCUGUGGGAUGCAGCAUCUUCGCUCCCAGUGUGGGAACCAGUCAGGUCGGAGGCCCAGUAGGAAAAGAAACUAUGGGAGCUUCUCCCUCCUUCACCCCUCUUCUCUCUGUUGUGAGGCAGCGAAGCCUGGCUGUGAGCAAGCAACAGAGAGGUGGCACACGAAGUUCAGAUAGCCACUGCCUGGAUUUCUCAGCUGGGGUGAGGAGCUGGCAUGCUCUAAGCAUGACUGGUCUGUAAUAUAUAGAUGGUUGGGAGUGUGAGAACGCAGUUUUAUCUUACCACCAGGCAAUGAAGACAUUCCUCUCAAAGGCCAGCUCAUGUUCUUACACGACAAGCAGGAAGCACUGCCAUUCUCUCCUGGAGCUCCAGCUCUGUGAGAAAGGUGAAAAAAUCAAGUCUAGGACAUACCAGAUCUUUGCUGUUUCCAAGGAUGGUUUAUCUAGAACCACGCUUUUCUUCUUGCUUUUUCUCCCUCCUGCAAGGUGUAGAAAGUUGGCUGAACGACCACAGGAACAGGAGUGCGUAGGAGGAGCUCGGAGAGGAGAUAUGGGGGCUGAGAAGGACUUCUCCAAAGUCAAAGGAACAGCUGAGUGCUGAAGGAGCUUUGCUGGGUUUAUCACUCUCACAGUGAGGAUGCAUUCCUUUCUUCAUCACGGUAUAUACACUUAACUCUCACUUUCUUUUACCUGAAUCACCUUUGAGAGCAGAUGAGAAGCCCCAUAAAAUAACUUUUUUUCCUGACUGGUGCAUACUUUUAAAAAUUUAGUGCCAGGAGAUUUUGUGGCUACGUCAGUAAUAAGUAAAUAAAUAAAUAAGGAACUAAGUAUUUUAUUGUACUCUUUAAAGGCUCUGCUCAAAUUAAAAUUUCAUCCGAGAAAACUUCAUCACUUUGUAAUCUCUCAGAAAUCAGUGCAGUUAGCUCUUUGGAACACUUUGGGGACAGAAUGAAUGUCAAAUGGUAUUCAUUUAAAUGUAUAACAUCCAAAUAAAUCGCUGUCUUAGAGCCUGAAUAAUCUAACUUGUGAUGGCAAAAACUACAGGCGCUGCCUUUCAGAUGGAGAAUGUCCUUGCUUCUGAGAGUUAAGCUGUCUUCGAAAGCUUUCUGCUGCUAAUGUUCAUGUUUUAUAGCUUUCUCUAAAUUUCAUGCCUCAGUGAUUACCUGUGAGCUAGCUGGCUUUUCAAUUACAAAUAACUCAGCAUACAGAUCAGCUGAAGUUUUAAGUGACUUCCUUGUGUGGCCAUUAGAAUUUUACUUUCUGCUUUAUUUCUUAUGACAUUGAAAAUGGAAAAUUUCCCUGUUGGAAUAAGUUGAUAAAGUUUCUGCUUCGUCUUGGAGAGACUGUUCUUCUCCCUGUUAUUCUGGGCUUUGGAAGAUGUUUGAGAUUAUCAUACAUUUGGUCUGUGCCAUCUUGUU